rnacentral:rRNA from 1 species
UACGAAGGGGGCUAGCGUUGUUCGGAAUUACUGGGCGUAAAGCGCACGUAGGCGGAUAUUUAAGUCAGGGGUGAAAUCCCGGGGCUCAACCCCGGAACUGCCUUGAUACUGGGUAUCCUUGAGUGUGGUAGAGUGAGUGGAAUUGCGAGUGUAGAGGUGAAAUUCGUAGAUAUUCGCAGGAACACCAGUGCGAAGGCGGCUCACUGGACCACAACUGACGCUGAGGUGCGAAGCGUGGGAGCAAAC